rnacentral:tRNA from 1 species
CCGACCUUAGCUCAGUUGGUAGAGCGGAAGACUGUAGUAGUUGCUGUAAAUCUUUAGGUCGCUGGUUUGAUUCCGGCAGGUCGGA